AUGAAAGUUGCUCAGAACGACGAGACGAUUCCGGAUAUGCAGUCCGUUCGUCCGCCACACCCCCCUAACCUAUCGAACCCGCAACUUUCCCCUCCGGCUCCUCUGCCCGAAAACACGAAACACCGGGAAUACUUUCCCGGAUGUUUUCCCCCCUUCACCGGUAUCACCUACUACCGCGUUAGGGCACACCGAACACCGCGUAUUGCCUUGUUAUAUUUUGUGAUGCUUUGUUUGCUCUGUAUUCAUUAUUUCUUCCCCCUCUUCUCUCCGGUAGACUACGAGACCGACGCUGCUGCUGCCCAAUUUGACUACGGAGUUGACGACCCCUCUCUCUUGCCAGAGCAACCAGGCAAGCCCCCCCUUUGA
rnacentral:rRNA from 1 species